rnacentral:rRNA from 1 species
UGGGGAAUAUUGCACAAUGGGCGCAAGCCUGAUGCAGCGAUGCCGCGUGAGGGAAGAAGGUUUUCGGAUUGUAAACCUCUGUCAUCAGGGACGAAAAAAGACGGUACCUGAGAAGGAAGCUCCGGCUAACUACGUGCCAGCAGCCGCGGUAAUACGUAGGUGGCAAGCGUUGUCCGGAUUUACUGGGUGUAAAGGGCGUGUAGCCGGGUCUGCAAGUCAGAUGUGAAAUCCAUGGGCUUAACCCAUGAACUGCAUUUGAAACUGUGGAUCUUGAGUGCUGGAGGGGCAAUCGGAAUUCCUAGUGUAGCGGUGAAAUGCGUAGAUAUUAGGAGGAACACCAGUGGCGAAGGCGGAUUGCUGGACAGUAACUGACGGUGAGGCGCGAAAGUGUGGGGAGCAAACAGGAUUAGAUACCCUGGUAGU